GUGCACCAGUCGCGAAUCCUCCGCAAUGCGCGAAAGCGCGACGGGGCCACCCCGAGUGCCGCCCGCUGAGGGCGGCUUUUCCCCGGUGUAGACAGCCGGGGGAAUAAGGGGAGGGCAAGUCUGGUGUCAGCCGCCGCGGUAAUACCAGCUCCCCGAGUGGUGGGGACGAUUAUUGGGCCUAAAGCGUCCGUAGCCGGCCCGGCAAGUCUCCCGUUAAAUCCAGCGAUCUAAUCGCUGGACUGCGGGAGAUACUGUCGGGCUAGGGGGCGGGAGAGGCCGGCGGUAUUCCCGGGGUAGGGGUGAAAUCCUAUAAUCCCGGGAGGACCACCAGUGGCGAAGGCUGCCGGCUGGAACGCGCCCGACGGUGAGGGACGAAAGCCGGGGGAGCGAACCGGAUUAGAUACCCGCGUAGU
rnacentral:rRNA from 1 species